rnacentral:tRNA from 1 species
ACGCUAUAAGUAUAGAAAAUACACCUGACUUCCAAUUAGGAGACCGCAGAAUAAAACCGCGAUAGCGUA